UGCGGUCCUGGCGCGCCAGUUGUCAACGUUUGUCGGACGCGCGGGAGGUUUAGCGAUCGCAGUGCGCAGCUCAUUUCCUGACUGCUGGUGGUGGCGAGGCAGGUCUUGCUGCUUCUUGACCCUCAGCGGGCUUCCUCUCGAGACUUGGCCAGGCUAAGACAGGCAGUCCUAAGGCAGUGACUAGAUAGACAUACAGAGUCUGUCUUCCAAGCAACACCUGCUUCGCUCCAAGGGCCGUGGCAGUCAGUUUAUUCAAGAUAUAUAGACUAUUAUUGUCGAGUCUAUAUACUUCGUCACUCAACCUCACACGGCGUCCCUCGAGGAGCUCCCGACAGCCGUCUCAGGGAUGUCCCCGGCCCACAGUAAGACGCCUGUGGAGGUGCCCAACAGCCAUGACCAAGAUACUGACAGUUGUAUAAUCAAAGCGACGGGAGAGCAGGAGGACAGCAGCACAAGCCUCCUCCAGGACAGCGACAGACACACUCCCAAAAUCGUCCCUCCCGUCACGAAUGCCUCGCAUCCCUCACUCCCACAGUCUCCUGCAACCACUUCACCCCCACUGUCCCCAAUCCACACCAGCCCCGCGCACUUGGCGAAGAGUCUCCUUGCCCACCUCGACGACCAGAAAGAUGAUGACUUGGGAGCUGAAGGACGGAAAGAAGAGGAAGAAACAAAGAAGAAAGUCAGACAGCGUAGCUCAGGAGUGCCCCGGCGUAUGAGAGACCUCGCAGCCUUCUGGCUGCUCGGCUUCUGCAACAACUUCUCCUACUGGGUCAUGAUCACCGCCGCCUAUGACCUGCUCGCGACUCAGCACCAGGAGUAUAGUGAAAGGUCCGCUCCGGCAGCGCCGCCUGGCCAGCCCCCCAACGCCUCGCUAGAGGUCACCAUCAGCCUCCCUGGGUGGGGUAAUGACUCCUUCGUUAAUACCUUCACGUGUAAUCGCCACUCAACUGGGGCAAUCUUGGUGGCUGACACGUUGCCCGCCACGGCGCUCACCCUCGCGGCACCCCUGACCCUGCUGCUGGGCGUGGGUCUGCGGGUGUGGCUGCUGAGCAUUCUCUGCGUCGUCUCCUACUUAAUACUGGGCCUCACCUCGCCAGACCUCGUGUUUCUCGGCGUGGCUUUGGCUUCCGCCUCACGUGGCCUCUCCGAUCCUACCUUCCUCGGCCACGCCACUAACUAUCACAAACACGUGUUGUCGCUGUGGUCUUCGGGUACUGGCGUGGCGACCUUCGUAGGUCCGCUGCUUUUCUCCGCCAUGACCACCUGGGGUUUGCACCCUCGCCACGCACUGCUCACCUUCCUCGCCGUGCCUCUGCUCAUCGUCUUUAGUUUCUGGUGUUUGCUGAGCAGAGCGCAGCCCGUCAAGGGUCCCUCAGACCUGGAGAAUGUGGACAGCGCCACCCUGGUGUGUGAAGAGGAGGAGAUGGAGGGCAAGAAGCAGAAGAUGGCCGCACGCAUCAAGGAAAAGAUCUUCAUUUUUGGGAGAGCACAGAAGUACCUGUUGCCGAUGGCGGUGUUCUACCUGAUCAUGUACUUCACCAAUCAGGGCUUGCUUGAGAUGGUCUACUUCCCCGUGUCACCGCUCACUCACGCUCAACAGUAUUCCUGGAGCAUCACAAUUCGCUGCCUUGGGACUUUAAUUUCACGAAGCUUCCACAAGCUGUUCCUUCUUCCCUCCAUGUGGCUCUAUUCCUCCUAGCCUUGGUGAUUGCGGCAGUGGUAGGGACGGAGGCUCACUUUCACUACCUCCCUUCACUGUAUAUCAUAUUCGCCCUCAUGUUCGUGCAGGGGCUCACUGAGGGCGCCACCUUCAGAGCAGCCGUCUUUUCUUUGCAUAACAAGACAAAUGAAGAAGACCGAGAGUUCACCAUGGCCAUCUUCCCCGCCUUCCUGUUCCUUCCCGCCAUGCUGGCAGGCUUCGUCUCCAUCCCCACCCAUGAGUACCUGUGUCACCACCAUCUCUACCGCCAGUGACGCCGCCACAAGGAUGAACACGGGAAACCGGCCUUUCCGCUGCACCAGGAGACUGAUGUACUGCACGUACAGUGAUGAGCCAAGUUUGUGGACGCGGUCUCGCAAUCUCUAGCACUUGAUCAGUAUUAUGACGUGUUAUGCAGUGCACUUGUGGUCCACGUUGAACAACGCUCUACAUUAGUCUCCAUUGAGUUUAAGGUUUUUCUGCAAGCUUUAGUUUUCUGGUCUGAUGAUUUCGUAAAAAAAAUCUGACAUGUGAUACAUUUCCAAAUAUUCAGAGGACUCAGGGUUGCAAAAAAGAAGUAAAAUACAACGAAUGUACGAGUAUAUAUAGGGAAGAAUUCACUCAUGUGACUGUACAAGACAUCGCUACUAUCGCCCUGCCUAUGGUGAGACUAUGUAUGUGAGCGUGUAUAUUAUAUAUAUAUAUAUAUAUAUAUAUAUAUAUAUAUAUAUAUAUAUAUAUAUAUAUAUAUAUAUAUAUAUAUAUAUAUACGCAGAAGUGCAAAUCAAUAGAAUGUAUAGUAAUUAUAUAUCUAUCGAAACAAUAAACAAUGAAAACAGGGAUAGUGUUUCCUACAGCGUUGUUAAUGCCAUGCUCUGCCUCGCAAACUAAGAAGAUACAAAGACGAGCUCCUCCAGUUUGAUGGGAUUGUGAGGGUGAUGAGGUGCGGCUUCAAACGCGCUCCGAGUCGCCAGGGUGACAGUUAGGCAAGGGAUCAGACAAAAGGUCACCUAGCGAGCCGCGCAGUGUUGAAGUGAACACCUUACGAACUGGUGUUUCGGAAUGAAUAAAUGAACUGACAUCCAAAGAAACUGUC
rnacentral:misc_RNA from 1 species